rfam:Lupinus angustifolius cultivar Tanjil chromosome LG06, whole genome shotgun sequence.
CUGGUUCAUCUUGCCAGUAGUCAUAUGAUUGUCUCAAAUAUCAAAACAUGCAUGUGUAAGUAUGAACUAAUUCAGACUGUGAAACUGUGAAUGGCUGAUUAAAUCAGUUAUAGUUUAUUUGAUGGUAUCUACUACUCGGAUAAGUGUAGUAAUUCUAGAACUAAUACGUGCAACAAACCUCGACUUAUAGAAGGGAUGCAUUUAUUAGAUAAAAGGUCGAUGCAGGCUCUGCCUAUUUCUUUGAUGAUUUAUGAUAACUCGUCGGAUCGAACGACCUUUGUGCCGGCGACGCAUCAUUCAAAUUUCUGCCCUAUCAACUUUCGAUGGUAGGAUAGUGGCCUACCAUGGUGGUGACGGGUGACGGAGAAUUAGGGUUCGAUUCCGGAGAGGGAGCUGAGAAACUUCUACCACAUCCAUGGAAGACAACAGGCGCGCAAAUUACCCAAUCUUGACACGGGGAAGUAGUGACAAUAAAAAAUAAUACCAGGCUCAUUGAGUCCUGUAAUUGGAAUGAGUACAAUCUAAAUCCCAUAAUGAGGAUCCACUGGAGGGCAAGUCUGGUGCUAGUAGCCACGGUAAUUCCAGCUCCAAUAGCGUAUAUUUAAGUUGUUGCAAUUAAAAAGCUCAUAGUUGGACCUUGGGUUAGGUCGAUCGGUCCACCAUUGGUGUGCACCAGCCGACUCAUCCCUUCUUCCGGCGAUGAGCUCCUAGCCUUAACUAGACGGGUCUUGCCUCCAACACUGUUACUUUGAAGAAAUUAGAAUGCUCAAAGCAAGCCUACACACUGGAUACAUUAACAUGGGAUAACACGACAUGAUUCUGAUCCUAUUGUGUUGGCCUUCGGGAUCGGAGUAAUGAUUAACAGGGACAGUUGGGGGCAUAAGUAUUUCAUAGUCAGAGGUGAAAUUCUUGGAUUUAUGAAAGAUGAACAACUGCGAAAGCAUUUGCCAAGGAUGUUUUCAUUAAUCAAGAACGAAAGUUGGGGGCUCGAAGACGAUCAGAUACCGUCCUAGUCUCAACCAUAAACAAAGCCGACCAGGGAUCAACUGAUGUUGGUUUUAAGACUCCGAUGGAACCUUAUGAGAAAUCAAAGUCUUUGGGUUCCG